GACAGAGGAGGCAAGCGUUGUUCGGAAUCAUUGGGCUUAAAGCGCGCGUAGGCGGCCUUGUAAGUGUCUUGUGAAAUCCCAAGGCUCACCCGUGGAACUGCAGGGCAAACUGCAAGACUUGAGGUCGGUAGAGGGGCCUGUAACUCUAGGUGGAGCGGUGAAAUGCGUAGAUAUCUAGGGGAACGCCGGAGGCGAAAGCGGGGCGCGGGACCGAUUAUGACGAUGAUGCGCGAAAGCGUGGGGAGCAAACAGG
rnacentral:rRNA from 1 species